rnacentral:rRNA from 1 species
UACGGAGGGUGCAAGCGUUAUCCGGAUUUACUGGGUUUAAAGGGUGCGUAGGUGGGUCUGUAAGUCAGUGGUGAAAUCUCCGGGCUUAACCCGGAAAGGUCAGCCGAUACUGCGGGGCUAGAGUGCAGAAGGGGCAACUGGAAUUCUCGGUGUAGCGGUGAAAUGCGUAGAUAUCGAGAGGAACACCUGCGGCGAAGGCGGGUUGCUGGGCUGACACUGACGCUGAGGCGCGAAAGCUAGGGGAGCGAACGGG